rnacentral:lncRNA from 1 species
GGGGAGAAUACUUUUGAUCUAAGGACAUAUUUGUGGUGAUGGAACAUUCUCAGCCAUCUUCUCCUCAAAUAUUUCUUGUUAUUUCUUUUCACAAUUCUCUUCAUUAUUCCCUUUAUUGCCUGAUAAAAUUUCUAUUAGUUGACUUCACCACAGGCCCAGGUCUUGUAUUGAGGACAAGGAAAUACUGCCCCAUAAUGCUGUUGAGAAUAUUUAAGAGCAGUCAGGAAACCCUUUGUAGCUUGGCUUUAUUGCAGCAAGUGUCAAAGAGGAGGACCUGAACUUCCAAGGCCAACUUGACUGGAAACCCUCUAGUCUUUAAUCCAUAGAAACCUGACUUCUGUGCCCCCCAUGCCUAGAAAACUACUUUUAAAAAGAACAUUAGUGGUCACCACGUUGGUAAAGUAUUAAUAAAUAAACAUGUUUUAGUUCUAAUCAUACU